CAUAGAAAUCCCUUACACAACAAAAACACCCACAGGCUCGUCGUCUAAGUCUGGAGGCCUUAAAAGUUGGGAAAUAGCUGUGAUAACGAUUGGAGGUGUCCUUUUGUUGGUCUUGAUGGGGGGGAUGGAGGGGUGCAUUCAGGGCCCUGUCAUAAACCGGAAGACCGCAUGUUAGUAUACGAACAAAAACUGGACAACAAAAGAUUUUGAGGGCAGCAAUCGAAGAAAAAAAGUCAAGGACAGGCACAGCCAGGAGGAGCAAAAAAAAAAACAAAGGAGAAGAAGGUCGGAUAACCCACUAUUUUUGCAAUGUUUAGUAGAGCGGCUUGCAGUAUUUCUUAGUUUUUUCCCAUGAAUUGAAUCAUUUUGCAGCUCCAUGCCUGCAAUUUACAAUACGAUUACAAAUCUGUAAUUUAUGUUGUUUGCUGAGAAAAGAAGGAUCGAUAGUUCUGCAAGAAUGUAGAGUAUGGGCCCCUGUACCUUAAACCAUUUGUGGGGUCACCAAGGGUAAAUGAUUGAAGAGUGAUUUUUCUAUGGUAAUAAAAUAUGUGCUUAUUGUU